rnacentral:rRNA from 1 species
AAACCAGCACCUCAAGUGGUCAGGAGGAUUAUUGGGCCUAAAGCAUCCGUAGCCUGUUCUGUAAGUUUUCGGUUAAAUCCAUUAGCUCAACUAAUGGGCCGCCGAAAAUACUGUAGAACUAGGGAGUGGGAGAGGUAGACGGUAUUCGGUAGGAAGGGGUAAAAUCCUUUGAUCUAUUGAUGACCACCAGUGGCGAAGGCGGUCUACCAGAACACGUUCGACGGUGAGGGAUGAAAGCUGGGGGAGCAAACCGGAUUAGAAACCCUAGUAGUCC